rnacentral:hammerhead_ribozyme from 1 species
ACCUAGUUGACGAGUCCCAAGUAGGACGAAAUGCACAUCCUGGAU